AUACCUACCUGGCAGGGGAGGAGAUGCCAUGAAAAAAAGAAGAUGUUUUCCCAGGGCGAGCAAUUCCAUUGCACUUUGGUUGGGUUCACCCCUGUGAUUUUCCCAAAUGUGGGAAACUCAACUGCAUACUUUUUCAUUAUUCAAUAAUGUAAAGCUUUGAA